AGCUGGGUAGUUCAGCGGUUAGAGCACCUGGUAUAUAUCCAGGGGGAUCCGGGGGGGCCUGGGUUCGAAUCCCGUUCUGGUCA